rnacentral:Y_RNA from 1 species
AGCUGGUGGGAAGGUAGUGAGUUAUCUCAAUUGAUUGUUCACAGUCAGUUAUGGAUUGAACUCCUUGUUCUACUCUCUCCCUCCUUCUCACUACUGUACUUGACUAGUCUUGG